UUUACAGAUGGCAAUAACUUCCCAGCACUGAUGAAAGAGCAAAAAGAUUUAGCCUUAUGCUACAGCUGAGGAAUGUAAGGUGCAAAAAAAGAUCACUUAUUAGCUUAUUGAGACACUGGGCUGAGCUUGUGAGACAUGCUAGCCUGGAGUGCAGCAGUGAUGGAGCUCGGGCCACGUGGGCAGCAUCUCAUGGCACAGAGCUGUGACUCUCACUUCAGUUACCCAGUUUGUCCAAGAACCCAGGAGAGAAUGUGCAAAAAGCUAGUAAAAGCUGGUUUAAGAAACAAUAGUGUCAUUGUCGCGGGAUGACUGACUAUCUUACAGUCCUGGACGGUGUGCGUUUCGUGUGGCGCGAGGGAGGGGAGGAGGGGGAGAGGAUAUUUACUGCACGACUCCACAACUUGCUUCAAAGACCAAAAUUUACUACAGAAGCUGCAAUGGUACAAAGCAAGAAUUUGUAUUAACAGAAACUCAGCUCAACUAGAAUACUUAUUUCUAAUGACACUAAAAGUUAUGCUAACAGUAACUACUUAGUAAACAGAAAAGGAUAGCUAAUUUAUACUAUCUGUAAAUACCCAAACGAAUGAACUAGGCAAACCAAUUCUGAUUAAUCUUACCCAUGCGUUGCCUCAGCGGCCAGCCCCAGGGCUCAAUCCCAGGGCAGUAACUGCGGGAGGGCGUCCCGGUCCCGAGGGGCUCCGCAAGUUGGCAGACCCGCUGUCACCUGCGAAGAGCCAAGGACGGCCUCCGGGGC
rnacentral:lncRNA from 1 species